rnacentral:rRNA from 1 species
GUGAACGCUGGCGGUAGGCCUAACACAUGCAAGUCGAACGGCAGCACAGUAAGAGCUUGCUCUUACGGGUGGCGAGUGGCGGACGGGUGAGGAAUACAUCGGAAUCUACUUUUUCGUGGGGGAUAACGUAGGGAAACUUACGCUAAUACCGCAUACGACCUACGGGUGAAAGCAGGGGAUCUUCGGACCUUGCGCGAUUGAAUGAGCCGAUGUCGGAUUAGCUAGUUGGCGGGGUAAAGGCCCACCAAGGCGACGAUCCGUAGCUGGUCUGAGAGGAUGAUCAGCCACACUGAAACUGAGACACGGUCCAGACUCCUACGGGAGGCAGCAGUGGGGAAUAUUGGACAAUGGGCGCAAGCCUGAGCCAGCCAUACCGCGUGGGUGAAGAAGGCCUUCGGGUUGUAAAGCCCUUUUGUUGGGAAAGAAAAGCAGCAGGUUAAUACCCCGCUGUUCUGACGGUACCCAAAGAAUAAGCACCGGCUAACUUCGU